ACACUUCUGAGGAAUCCCACAAUAGGAUGAAACGACCGUCCAGUGU
rfam:Schistosoma mansoni, Puerto Rico, WGS project CABG01000000 data, contig: 0032